rnacentral:tRNA from 1 species
GCUCAGUUGGUUAGAGCGCUACAUUCACACUGUAGAGGUCUCUGGUUCGAGUCCAGAUAUGUCCA